AUUGAACGCUGGCGGCAGGCCUAACACAUGCAAGUCGAACGGUAGCACAGGAGAGCUUGCUCUCUGGGUGACGAGUGGCGGACGGGUGAGUAAUGCAUGGGGAGCUGCUCAAUCGAGGGGGAUACCAGCUGGAAACGGCUGCUAAUACCGCAUACGCCCUGAGGGGGAAAGGUGGGGACCUUCGGGCCUACCGCGAUUGGAUGCACCCAUGUGGGAUUAGCUAGUUGGUGAGGUAACGGCUCACCAAGGCGACGAUCUCUAGCUGGUCUGAGAGGAUGACCAGCCACACUGGAACUGAGACACGGUCCAGACUCCUACGGGAGGCAGCAGUGGGGAAUAUUGCACAAUGGGGGAAACCCUGAUGCAGCCAUGCCGCGUGUGUGAAGAAGGCCUUAGGGUUGUAAAGCACUUUCAGCGAGGAGGAAAGGUGGCUAGCUAAUACCUAGUUGCUGUGACGUUACUCGCAGAAGAAGCACC
rnacentral:rRNA from 1 species